UACGUAGGUGGCAAGCGUUGUCCGGAUUUACUGGGCGUAAAGGGCGCGUAGGCGGCCUACUAAGUCAGACGUGAAAUCCCCCGGCUUAACCUGGGAACUGCGUCUGAUACUGGAAGGCUUGAGUAUGGGAGAGGGAUGUAGAAUUCCAGGUGUAGCGGUGAAAUGCGUAGAUAUCUGGAGGAAUACCGGGUGGCGAAGGCGGCAUCCUGGACCAUUACUGACGCGUGAGGCGGCGAAAGCUAGGGGAGCAA
rnacentral:rRNA from 1 species